rnacentral:rRNA from 1 species
AUGAAGGAUGCUGCUGUGAGCCACGCCACCCCAUCAGGAAGUGUUGAAGUGGAUGCCCCCGAGACCAACCUAAGCAAGGAAGAUUCCCGCUCAUCUGACACUGAUUCCAAGCGCGUGCGUGGUGCCACUCAUGUGCCCACUACAGAAGUUGCCGAGGCGGCAGUUCAUAAUGAUAUGCCAUCUGCAGGUGAGACUCUUGGCACAACAGCUCUAGCUCCUGGUGGUGCAGAUAUUGCUCAGGCCACUAUUCCACGUGCUGGUCUUCCACCUAAGCGUCGUAGCCCCCGCAAGCAAUCAACAGUUGUAUCCAAUGCACCAGCUGCAGCUAGGAGUAGCAGAGAUGAGUCUGGUUACAUCCCUGCGUCCACACUGUUCCCGCCAACCGCCAAAAGCAAUGUUAUGGAGAAACCAGAAGACCAGAGUAUAACUGAUGCAGGUGCCAAGCCGGGCACGAGUGAUGAAGGUGAACGUCCGGAGCAGACUGCACCUUUACCCGCAGUGGAAAUCCCCAGCUUAAAUCUGCGCACUUCCAAACUCCCAAUCAACAUCGAUGUCCCCUACAGCCCCAACAAGAGGAUUGUCAACAAAUCUACGCCCGUCACCACUGACAGCACGCCCCGCCUUAUUGGCAAGCCUGAUGAUUCUGUAACAGCUGAUCCCGAAGAUAUGUUUGUUGAUCUUUCACCGUUGGAUUCUGCCCCGCAAGUUGUUCGCGGUCCGGCCAGUAGGCAUGAGAGGCACCCAAUGGCCUUCACCCCACCAACCUUCAGCCUUGGCGUUAGUCAAGAUCAACUAGUGGCUCAAGAUCCUAUGCCAGUUGCCUUUGCUUUUCCUGGAGGCGUGCCCGCAAUGAUGGCGCAGCCAAUGGUUGAGGGCAGGAAGGCUGUCAAGUUCGCAGAGCCGAUCGUCCAAGGUAUCCUAAUCCACUUUUUUUAUCCUUGCAGCCACCCCUGA